GUAUUUUUUAAUGGAAAAAAGUAUUGAUUGUUGACUUGGGAAAUUGAACAGCAAUUUUUUGUACUUUUAAAUCAGUUAUAUUUUAACUUUUUAGAGCACAUUUCGUAGACAAAAGGGAAAACGAUUGGUCCAACAUGUGAAGAUGAUGAUGUCAACAAGUUUUGGAUCGGAGCCAAAAAAGAAACAAAACAUUCAUACCAUGAUGGGAAAC
ensembl:ncRNA T13H10.9 ncRNA